rnacentral:rRNA from 1 species
AGCGAACGCUGGCGGCAGGCCUAAUACAUGCAAGUCGAACGGCUCUUCGGAGCAGUGGCGGACGGGUGAGUAACGCGUGGGAAUGUGCCCUUAGGUACGGAACAACACAGGGAAACUUGUGCUAAUACCGUAUGUGCCCUUCGGGGGAAAGAUUUAUCGCCUUUGGAGCAGCCCACGUUGAAUUAGGUAGUUGGUGAGGUAAAGGCGCACCAAGCCGACGAUCCAUAGCUGGUCUGAGAGGAUGACCAGCCACACUGGGACUGAGACACGGCCCAGACUCCUACGGGCGGCAGCAGUGGGGAAUCUUGCGCAAUGGGCGAAGGCCUGACGCAGCCAUGCCGCGUGUAUGAUGAAGGUCUUAGGAUUGUAAAAUACUUUCACCGGGGAAGAUAAUGACGGUACCCGGUGAAGAAGCCCCGGCUAACUUCGUGCCAGCCGCCGCGGUAACAC